GAUUUUUUUGAUCCUGGCUCAGGAUGAACGCUAGCGGCAGGCGUAAUACAUGCAAGUCGAACGAGGUUUAGUAGCAAUAUUAAACUUAGUGGCGCACGGGUGCGUAACGCGUAUGCAACUUACCUUUAACUGGGGAAUAGCCCCUCGAAAGAGGGAUUAAUACCCCCAUAGUAAUUAGAUAUCGCAUGGUAUUUAGUUUAAAGCUACGGCGGUUAAAGAUGGGCAUGCGUGACAUUAGUUUGUUGGUGAGGUAACGGCUCACCAAGACUUCGAUGUCUAGGGGUUCUGAGAGGAUGAUCCCCCACACUGGUACUGAGACACGGACCAGACUCCUACGGGAGGCAGCAGUAAGGAAUAUUGGUCAAUGGACGAAAGUCUGAACCAGCCAUGCCGCGUGCAGGAUGACUGCCCUAUGGGUUGUAAACUGCUUUUGUACGGGAAUAAACCCAGAUACGUGUAUCUGGCUGAAUGUACCGUAAGGAUAAGGAUCGGCUAACUCCGUGCCAGCAGCCGCGGUAAUACGGAGGAUCCAAGCGUUAUCCGGAUUCAUUGGGUUUAAAGGGUGCGUAGGUGGAUUUGUAAGUCAGUGGUGAAAUCCUGCAGCUUAACUGUAGAACUGCCAUUGAUACUGCAAGUCUUGAGUGUGUUUGAAGUGGGCGGAAUGUGUCAUGUAGCGGUGAAAUGCAUAGAUAUGACACAGAACACCGAUUGCGUAGGCAGCUCACUAAGCCACAACUGACACUGAGGCACGACAGCGUGGGGAUCAAACAGGAUUAGAUACCCUGGUAGUCCACGCCGUAAACUAUGAUUACUCGAUGUUGGCGAUACACAGUCAGCGUCUAAGCUAAAGCGAUAAGUAUCCAC
rnacentral:rRNA from 1 species